rnacentral:misc_RNA from 1 species
GAUGAAGAACGCAGCGAAAUGCGAUACGUAAUGUGAAUUGCAGAAUUCAGUGAAUCAUCGAAUCUUUGAACGCACAUUGCGCCUGCCAGCACUCUGGCAGGCAUGCCUGUUCGAGCGUCAUUUCAACCAUCAAGCCCUAGGCUUGCGUUGGAGCCCUGCGGCUGCCGCAGGCCCCUAAAAGCAGUGGCGGGCUCGCUAUCACACCGAGUGCAGUAGAUUACUCUUCGCUCAGGGCGUGUGGCGGGUUCCAGCCGUGAAACCCCCUACUUCUCAAGGUUGAGCUCGGAUCAGGUAGGAAUACCCGCUGAACUUAAGCAUAUCAAUAAGCGGAGGA